AUAGAACGCUGGCGGCAGGCCUAACACAUGCAAGUCGAGCGAAUGAAGGGAGCUUGCUCCCGGAUUCAGCGGCGGACGGGUGAGUAAUGCCUAGGAAUCUGCCUGGUAGUGGGGGAUAACGUCCGGAAACGGGCGCUAAUACCGCAUACGUCCUGAGGGAGAAAGUGGGGGAUCUUCGGACCUCACGCUAUCAGAUGAGCCUAGGUCGGAUUAGCUAGUUGGUGGGGUAAAGGCCUACCAAGGCGACGAUCCGUAACUGGUCUGAGAGGAUGAUUAGUCACACUGGAACUGAGACACGGUCCAGACUCCUACGGGAGGCAGCAGUGGGGAAUAUUGGACAAUGGGCGAAAGCCUGAUCCAGCCAUGCCGCGUGUGUGAAGAAGGUCUUCGGAUUGUAAAGCACUUUAAGUUGGGAGGAAGGGCAGUAAGUUAAUACCUUGCUGUUUUGACGUUACCAACAGAAUAAGCACCGGCUAACUUCGUG
rnacentral:rRNA from 1 species